GACGAACCGUGCGAACGUUGUUCGGAAUCACUGGGCUUAAAGGGCGCGUAGGCGGGCCCUCAAGUCCGGGGUGAAAUCCUCCCGCCUAACGGGAGAAGAGCCUCGGAGACUGAGGGCCUCGAGGGGGGUAGGGGCGUGCGGAACUAUGGGUGGAGCGGUGAAAUGCGUUGAUAUCUACAGGAACUCCGGUGGCGAAAGCGGCGUGCUGGACCUUUUCUGACGCUGAGGCGCGAAAGCUAGGGGAGCAAACGGG
rnacentral:rRNA from 1 species